GAUGAACGCUGGCGGCGUGCCUAAUACACGCAAGUCGAGCGAAUGGAUUAAGAGCUUGCUCUUAUGAAGUUAGCGGCGGACGGGUGAGUAACACGUGGGUAACCUGCCCAUAAGACUGGGAUAACUCCGGGAAACCGGGGCUAAUACCGGAUAACAUUUUGAACCGCAUGGUUCGAAAUUGAAAGGCGGCUUCGGCUGUCACUUAUGGAUGGACCCGCGUCGCAUUAGCUAGUUGGUGAGGUAACGGCUCACCAAGGCAACGAUGCGUAGCCGAGCUGAGAGGGUGAUCGGCCAAACUGGGACGAAGACACGGCCCAGACUCCUACGGGAGGCAGCAGUAGGGAAUCUUCCGCAAUGGACGAAAGUCUGACGGAGCAACGCCGCGUGAGUGAUGAAGGCUUUCGGGUCGUAAAACUCUGUUGUUAGGGAAGAACAAGUGCUAGUUGAAUAAGCUGGCACCUUGACGGUACCUAACCAGAAAGCCACGGCUAACUACGUGCCAGCAGCCGCCGCAG
rnacentral:rRNA from 1 species